rnacentral:rRNA from 1 species
GACGAACCACACAAACGUUAUUCGGAAUUACUGGGCUUAAAGGGUGCGUAGGCUGUGCGGAAAGUUGGGUGUGAAAUCCCCCGGCUCAACCGGGGAAUUGCGCCCAAAACUACCGUGCUUGAGGAAGACAGAGGUGAGCGGAACUUCGGGUGGAGCGGUGAAAUGCGUUGAUAUCCGAAGGAACACCGGUGGCGAAAGCGGCUCACUGGGUCUUUUCUGACGCUGAUGCACGAAAGCUAGGGGAGCAAACGCG